UUGUAACGAUCGAUCGACAGAACGAUAGUUGCGUCGAUCGAUGGUUAUUCUAGCGAGCCUUGCGAACGGGUUUAACUUGUUCUCUAACCUUCUCAGACCAACUGUCGUUGCGCCUGAGUUGGUUAGAUCACGCAAGUGGGUUCAGGUAUUGAGGGGAAACAGUUAGUUGGACUCAAUUAAUCCUAAGAUCUAAUAUGAAGGUGAUCAAUCUCAAUUUUAG
rnacentral:lncRNA from 1 species